AACGUAGGAGGCAAACGUUAUCCGGAGUUACUGGGCGUAAAGGGCGCGUAGGCGGCGACCCAAGUCAGAUGUGAAAGUCCUGGGCUUAACCUGGGGACUGCAUUUGAUACUGGGUUGCUUGAAUUCGGGAGAGGAUAGCGGAAUUCCCAGUGUAGAGGUGAAAUUCGUAGAUAUUGGGAAGAACACCGGUGGCGAAGGCGGCUAUCUGGACCGACAUUGACGCUGAGGCGCGAAAGCGUGGGGAGCAAACAGG
rnacentral:rRNA from 1 species